UCCGAGUUGACCCCGGCAGGCUUGUUAAAGGCCUCCGCUGGCAACAUGGAACGAGGGUUGCGCUCGUUGCGGGACUUAACCCAACAUCUCACGACACGAGCUGACGACAACCAUGCACCACCUGUGCACGGCCCUUACGGACCCCACAUCUCUGCGGGAUUUCCGUGCAUGUCAAGCCUAGGUAAGGUUCUUCGCGUUGCAUCGAAUUAAGCAACAUGCUCCGCCGCUUGUGCGGGCCCCCGUCAAUUCCUUUGAGUUUUAGCCUUGCGGCCGUACUCCCCAGGCGGGGCGCUUAAUGCGUUAGCUGCGGCACGGAACUCGUGGAAUGAGCCCCACACCUAGCGCCCAACGUUUACGGCGUGGACUAC
rnacentral:misc_RNA from 1 species